GGGGCGGUAGCUCAGCAGGUUAGAGCAGUCGACUCAUAAUCGAUAGGUCACGGGUUCGAGUCCCGUCCGCCCCACCA
rnacentral:tRNA from 1 species